GACGAACCGUGCGAACGUUGUUCGGAAUCACUGGGCUUAAAGGGCGCGUAGGCGGGCUGUCAAGUCUGGGGUGAAAUGCCGCGGCUCAACCUGGGAACUGCGUCCGAUACUGGAUGGCUUGAAUCCGGGAGAGGGAUGCAGAAUUCCAGGUGUAGCGGUGAAAUGCGUAGAUAUCUGGAGGAAUACCGGUGGCGAAGGCGGCAUCCUGGACCGGCAUUGACGCUGAGGAGCGAAAGCCAGGGGAGCAAACGGG
rnacentral:rRNA from 1 species